rnacentral:rRNA from 1 species
UGGGUGAGUAACGCGUAUCCAACCUGGCUUCAAGCAGGGAACAGGCUUUCGAAAGAAAGAUUAAUACCCUAUGUGGUCCUCGGAAGACAUCAGAGGAGGACGAAAGAUUCAUCGCUUGAAGAUGGGGAUGCGUCUGAUUAGGCAGUUGGCGGGACAAGGGCCCACCAAACCGACGAUCAGUAGGGGUUCUGAGAGGAAGGUCCCCCACAUUGGAACUGAGACACGGUCCAAACUCCUACGGGAGGCAGCAGUGAGGAAUAUUGGUCAAUGGGCGGAAGCCUGAACCAGCCAAGUAGCGUGCAGGAUGACGGCCCUAUGGGU